GACGAACCGUACAAACAUUAUUCGGAAUCACUGGGCUUAAAGGGUGCGUAGGCGGCGCGGAAAGUUGGGUGUGAAAUCCCUCGGCUCAACCGAGGAAUUGCGCUCAAAACUACCGUGCUCGAGGGAGAUAGAGGUGAGCGGAACUUAGGGUGGAGCGGUGAAAUGCGUUGAUAUCCUAAGGAACACCAGUGGCGAAAGCGGCUCACUAGGUCUCUUCUGACGCUGAGGCACGAAAGCUAGGGGAGCGAACGGG
rnacentral:misc_RNA from 1 species